rnacentral:rRNA from 1 species
AUUGAACGCUGGCGGCAGGCCUAACAAAUGCAAGUCGAGCGAGCGGCGGACGGGUGAGUAAUGUAUGGGGACUGCCCGAUAGAGGGGGCUAACUACUGGAAACGGUGGCUAAUACCGCAUACUUCCGGAUAACCCAUAUGGGAUUAGCUAGUAGGUGGGGUAAAGGCUAACACAGGCGACGAUCUCUUGCUGGUCUGGGGGGAUGUUCACCCACACUGGGCCUGUGACAAGGCCCAGACUCCUACGGAGGCGGCAGUGGGGAAUAUUGCACAAUGGGCGCAAGCCUGAUGCAGCCAUGCCGCGUGUAUGAAGAAGGCCUUAGGGUUGUAAAGUACUUUCAGCGGGGAGGCGUUACCCGCAGAAGAAGCACCGGCUAACUCCGUGCCACCAGCCGCGGUAAUAC